rnacentral:rRNA from 1 species
AUUUGUCUGGUUAAUUCCGAUAACGAACGAGACCUUAACCUGCUAACUAGAUUCUUUUGUUUUACAAAAGUUAUCUUCUUAGAGGGACUAUGUAAAUCAAUUACAUGGAAGUUUGAGGCAAUAACAGGUCAGUGAUGCCCUUAUAUGUCCUGGGCUGCACGCGUGCUACACUGAUGCAUACAACAAGUGCCUAACCAGAUAUGGUAUGGCAAUCUCGAAUAUGCAUCGUGAUGGGGAUAGAUCUUUGCAAUUAUAGAUCUUGAACGAGGAAUUCCUAGUAAGUGCAAGUCAUCAUCUUGCAUUGAUUAUGUCCCUGCCCUUUGUACACACCGCCCGUCGCUCCUACCGAUACCGGGUGAUCCGGUGAACCUUUUGGACCUUCAUUGGAAAAAUAAGUAAACCUUAUCACCUAGAGGAAGGAGAAGUCGUAACAAGGUUUCCGUAGGUGAACCUGCRGAAGGAUCA